rnacentral:rRNA from 1 species
UACGUAGGGGGCGAGCGUUGUCCGGAUUCAUUGGGCGUAAAGAGCUCGUAGGCGGUUCAGUAAGUCGGGUGUGAAAUCUCCGUGCUCAACACGGAGCGGCCACCUGAUACUGCUGUGACUCGAGUCCGGUAGGGGAGUGUGGAAUUCCCGGUGUAGCGGUGAAAUGCGGCAGAAUAUCGGGAGGAACACCAGUAGCGAAGGCGGCAGCUCUGGGCCGUGACUGG